AGUCCCUCUUCUACAGUCUCUGGGGAGCUUGGGUGAACUCAUCUUAUGCCUAACUCACUGAAAAUGCUCAUUAUCUUCUAACACGUGAACCGCUUCUCCUUUCCCUAUCAGACAUCGGUCUCUGACAUGAAAGACUGAAGACAUCCUUUCAAGCCAUGAAGCCCAGAAGAGAGCCUUGGAUACUCUGAAGAUGUAGUUAUAAUGAGCCUCCAUGACAACGAUGAGAACCAAACCUGGGUCUUCCACAAGAGUAGCAAGUGCUCCUACGCGCUGAAGUUUCUCUCCAGCCCCCUGGUGUGGAGUUUUACCUAGAAGAAGGAAAGGAGGAGGAAGGACUUUGGUGAGACCAAACCAUGACCGGGAGAGUAGCUUUUAAGACUUUGAAUGAAGGCAGCUGGGUUGGAAAUAUCCUUUUUUCCCUUUCUUUAAUUUCUCCUUGUCUGAGAUGCCUCCUGCCCCUUUUUGAGACAAGGUCUCACUGUGUAGGUCUGGAACGCACUUACUAGUCCAUACUGGUUUCCAACGUCUGAUCUUCCUGCUUCCUCCGUGCUGAAAUUACACGUGGGUGUCAUUAUGCAUGGCUCUUUUAUUUUUCCUUAUGCCUUUUUCCUUUCUCUCCCCUAGAUUUUUCUACCCAUCUUUUAAUUUUUUAUUUAUGAAUUUAUUAAGGCACGAGUGUAUGUGUGUGUGCGUGCAUGUGGGUGUCUUUUCUCUUUCCACCAUGUGGAUGUCAGGGAUGUCAGGCUUGGCAGCAGACACCUUCACCUACUGAGCCCUCCUAUUCUCUUCUUUAGCUCUGAAGAGCUAAUGGCCAUGUACUUUGGAUAUUCGGUGCAUUUAUAUAAAAAUGGAGGAUCUGAGCCUUUAUGCAAAGCAAUGGAUUUGCUGCCUUGAGUCGCAGACCCAGCCACCCUUGCUGCUGCUUCCUGGAUUAACUCAGGGGUGGUAAGAAGCUGGAAGAAGUUCCAAAGAAGCUCCUCCGAUGUUCUCUGUAUCCUUCUUCAGUACUGUACCUCUGGUAGACAGGAGAGAGCCAGGCUUGAUAAACAUGUGUGUCCUCUCACCAGCACAUGAACCAGGGCUUUCCACCUACCAUGAAGCUAAACAUUAACGACAGUUUUAAGCUUAGAAACAUCCCUUACGAUCUCCGCUGUGUUUUGUUUCAUCCCAAAGUCUGUGAUCUCCACCAGAGAGCUCUGAGAACACACAGGACUAGGAAUAGCCACAGUUGGAGGUCACUGUGGCAGUGUGGCUGCCUGUGGCAGAGAGAGACUUCAGUUGCUUUUCUGACAGGCUCACUUUAUGCUUCUGGAGCUUACAUGCUUCCUAGGACUAAACUAGCUGGUUAAUAUGGCUUUUCUCUAAACACUGUCCACAAAUUAUGAUCAAAGCCAGGGAGCUCACAGACAAAGAAAUAUGUUAAUGAAUGUGGUUUCUUUCCUUUGCCUAAUCUUAGACUCACAAUGCCAAGUCUUAGGGGCAUAUUUGACCACGUCAACAUCCAUUUUAAAAUGCCUGGCGAUUUAUCUGCAUCACCAGGAAGGAAUAAAAAUGAACAGAAUAUGUCUCUUUUAUAAAUUGCUGAACAGAACAUUUGUAAUCAUAACAGGUAUUUGAAGGUCACUCAGAAAAAAAAUAGCAUUUACUCAAAAUCUAUAGGGAACAAAGACAUUAGAUUUUAGGUGUGUGUGUGUGUGUGUGUGUGUGUGUGUGUGUGCGCGCGUGUGUAAAUUCUAUAAAGACAGAAAGAGAAGGAGUACAAAUGAUAGUAGAAACCCCUUCUAUUUUUUAAUAAUGAGUAGCAGAAUGGAAAAGAUUUGAUCUGGGAAGCCCAACUGUAUUCUCUCAAAACUCUUUGUAUAUUGCUAAGUGAUUUGCAUACUGCUGGGGCAAUCAGGUCCCUGCCCAGCAUUCCCCAGGCCUUUCUUACUAGUUCCUACUUCUGCCUUCGUCUUCCACUAGGAAUAUGGUACUAAUUAAGCUAGCAGGAAACACAGAGAACAAAAGACGCAGUGGCAUCGCUCAAAGUCACCUCUCACUUUGAACUUCAUAAAGAUCUGGGGACAGAUCUGCUCUGUCAGCUUCUCAGGAGAAGAGGCAGCCAACAUUAUUUCCUCUGCUCUAGAAAGGAAACCCAUUUGAGGGAUUAUGAAUGUCACCCUGUGUCUCGGUUUGAAGUUUAAAUCUUUUCAAGCAUGUAGUUAUUAAGAUGCCAAGUUGCCUCACUUAAUUACAACCUUUAUUAUAGUAUUGAAUACUUUAAAUGCACUAUUUAUCACACCUGAAGAGAAGAGUAACUCUACUUGAAUGGACCACUCUCAGUGGUCCAUCUAUUGAUUAUCUUCUCGGCUGAAUUAAUUCCUAGUAAUCGCCUAGUGAGCAGUCAUUACAGGAAGUGCUUCCUGUGGGCUUAGGGCUGGGCUGAAGGGAUAUGAUGGACCUCUCAGAUAACAGCAGCUUUGGUGUCUGUGGUGGUUUGUGUGAAAAUGGCCUCCAUAGGCUCAUAACAUUUAAUGCUUGGUGCCUGGUUGGUAGAACUGUUUGUGAAGGAUCAGAAGGUGUGGCCUUAUCGGAAAAAGUGGGAUACUGGAGGCGGCCUUUGAGGUUUGAAAAGCCCACACCUGGACCAGUUAGCCCUCUCUAUGCCUUGUACUUGUUGUCCUUUUGGAAUGUAAGAUCUCAGCUUCUCCUCCUGUGCUAAGUCUGACUGCUGUUCCCUGUUAUGAUAAUGGGUUCACCCUCUGAAACUCUGUAAGCCCCGAAAUAAAGCUGUGUUUUAUAAGUUG